rnacentral:rRNA from 1 species
GGAUAACACCUGGAAACAGAUGCUAAUACCGGAUAACAACACUAGACGCAUGUCUAGAGUUUGAAAGAUGGUUCUGCUAUCACUCUUGGAUGGACCUGCGGUGCAUUAGCUAGUUGGUAAGGUAACGGCUUACCAAGGCAAUGAUGCAUAGCCGAGUUGAGAGACUGAUCGGCCACAUUGGGACUGAGACACGGCCCAAACUCCUACGGGAGGCAGCAGUAGGGAAUCUUCCACAAUGGACGAAAGUCUGAUGGAGCAACGCCGCGUGAGUGAAGAAGGGUUUCGGCUCGUAAAGCUCUGUUGGUAGUGAAGAAAGAUAGAGGUAGUAACUGGCCUUUAUUUGACGGUAAUUACUUAGAAAGUCACGGCUAACUACGUGCCAGCAGCCGCGGUAAUACGUAGGUGGCAAGCGUUGUCCGGAUUUAUUGGGCGUAAAGCGAGUGCAGGCGGUUCAAUAAGUCUGAUGUGAAAGCCUUCGGCUCAACCGGAGAAUUGCAUCAGAAACUGUUGAACUUGAGUGCAGAAGAGGAGAGUGGAACUCCAUGUGUAGCGGUGGAAUGCGUAGAUAUAUGGAAGAACACCAGUGGCGAAGGCGGCUCUCUGGUCUGCAACUGACGCUGAGGCUCGAAAGCAUGGGUAGCGAACAGGAUUAGAUACCCUGGUAGUCCAUGCCGUAAACGAUGAGUGCUAAGUGUUGGGAGGUUUCCGCCUCUCAGU